rnacentral:rRNA from 1 species
AACGAACGCUGGCGGCAUGCCUAACACAUGCAAGUCGAACGAGACCUUCGGGUCUAGUGGCGCACGGGUGCGUAACGGGUGGGAACAUGCCCUUAGGUUCGGCAUAACUCCCCGAAAGGGGUGCUAAUACCAGAUAAUGUCUCCGGACCAAAGAUUUAUCGCGUUUGGAUGGGCCCGCGUGGGAUUAGCUAGUUGUUAGGGUAAAAGCCUACCAAGGCGACGAUCCAUAGCUGGUCUGAGAGGAUGAGCAGCCACACUGGGACUGAGACACGGCCCAGACUCCUACGGGAUGCAGCAGUGGGGAAUAUUGGACAAUGGGCGGAGUCCUGAUCCAGCAAUGCCGCGUGAGUGAUGAAGGCCUUAGGGUUGUAAAGCUCGUUUACCCGUGAUGAUAAUGACAGUACCGGGAGAAUAAGCUCCGGCUAACUCCGUG